CCCCGCCCCCCCCGCCGCGUCCGCGCCCACAGCCCGCCCGGGAGCCCGCCGCCGGCGCGAGGCAGCUCCUCGGAGGCAACACCCCCCGAGGCGCCCCGAGUCCCGCUUGGGCGCGGAGGCGUCCCUUCAAGGGGACGGGCCGCGAGCCCCGGGGCCCGCACUGGCCGCGGCGCGCCCGCCCCCGCCCCCGCCCCCCGCCGGCGCCCGGAGGCCGCGGGACACUCACCUCGGCCGGAGCGGCGCGACCCGCAUCAGGCGCGGCGGGGAGGACGCGAGGCCGGGCCAACCCCCCUCCCGGCUGCGGGGGACACUCCUGCGGACCCCCCUCCCGCCGCGCGGCGCGGGCGCAUCCACCUCGGGCUUCUCCCGCAGCCCCUCCCGCGAGCCGGGGGGGGAGAGAAAGAACAGGAAGGGAAAAAAAGGUCCCCUGCGAGAGGGCUCUCGAGUCUCAGAAAACGGCAGAGACCAGCGCGCGGGCCGGGCCCCCGGGGCACGCGGUGCUCUGCGACAGUCCUCCCUCGGGUCCGAGCGCUCCCCGCGGCCGAGGAAGGAGGCGGCCCCCCGACGACUGAAAAGCCCACGUCACGGGCGUUCGAGACUCCGCGGCGCCGGGGACGGGGCUCGAACCGGCGUCUCCGGGCGCCUCGCGGAACCAAGCAGGCCCCGGCGCGGCCCGGGAGCGCACGCCCGCGAGGCUGGGGCUGCGGCUCCCCCGGGGGCGGGGUGCGGGGGAUAUUCUGGGUUUUUUUGUUUUGUUUUGUCUUGCUUUUUAGCCCCGCUGUUUUAGGGGUGGCGGUGAAGGGUGCGAGGUUGGGGGGGAUUCCUCCCAAGGGAAGAGGCGGGGCGUCGUCUUUCGUGCACCCCCCCCCCGCGCAGGUCGAGGCACUUUCCCGAUCCCGCGCGCUGGGCAAGUGGGGGGCACAGCGGCCCCCGGGACUCUGGUCCUGGCGGGUCCGCCUCUCCCGGGGAGCGCGCGCUCCCAGUCCUCCGACCCUCCGGUUCCACGGCCGGAACGCCUGCUCCCGAGGAUCGGCGAUUGGAAAACAAAACACAACAGCACAUUAA
rnacentral:lncRNA from 12 species